rnacentral:rRNA from 1 species
AUUGAACGCUGGCGGCAGGCUUAACACAUGCAAGUCGAGCGGGGGAAGGUAGCUUGCUACCGGACCUAGCGGCGGACGGGUGAGUAAUGCUUAGGAAUCUGCCUAUUAGUGGGGGACAACAUCUCGAAAGGGAUGCUAAUACCGCAUACGUCCUACGGGAGAAAGCAGGGGAUCACUUGUGACCUUGCGCUAAUAGAUGAGCCUAAGUCGGAUUAGCUAGUUGGUGGGGUAAAGGCCUACCAAGGCGACGAUCUGUAGCGGGUCUGAGAGGAUGAGCCACCACAAUGGGACUGAGACACGGCCCAGACUCCUACGGGAGGCAGAAGUGGGGAAUAUUGGACAAUGGGGGGAACCCUGAUCCAGCCAUGCCGCGUGUGUGAAGAAGGCCUUAUGGUUGUAAGGCACUUUAAGCGAGGAGGAGGCUCUUUUGGUUAAUACCCAAGAUGAGUGGACGUUACUCGCAGAAUAAGCACCGGCUAACUCUGUGCCAGCCGCCGCAGUAA